CUCCCUAAUCCCUCCCUCAAAACUGGAAUUUCAGCUGUAGUUCAGCAGCAGGGUGCUUUUGACUGCUCUUUUUUAAAAAGUCUCGAGAUGUGACACAGAAGUGGUCGUGCCUGAGCUGCCUCUCCUUUGACUAAAUUGUUCAUGUAGGCUCUCUUCAUGAUCAUUACAUUUAACUAGGAGGUCGUGUGCAGAGUGUGAUGGUUACGGCUACACUCUCAGUAAUGACGGCGGAUGUGUCAGCAUUUCAUACGGGUGCUGAAGGAUGCAGCGCCCUAAUCCACAUCUCGAUGAGUCAGCCUGCUGGAUUAUGGCAUUAACGUUUUACUCAGCCGUGCCUCUGUGACAAUUCCGCCCACAUAACAAAGCAGUUGGUGAUCAUGGGAGGAUUACAGUGACUUUUAUGAAGCACAGAGGUAUUAUGUUUAUAGAAACAUGUUAAGCAGAUCGACACCACUGGUAAGCUCUCAUAUUGCAGAUGAGUGAUUUCUAUCUUGCCAAGGUUUUUUGUUGCUUUUCCUCCAGUUUCUUUGGCUUUUACAAUUUCUUUGCAGCCUUCCGCCUUCCUCUGUCACAGCUGGUGUUAUGUGCUCAGCCUGUAAGUGCUCGUGUGGACAUCACUGUCACUGAAAAGAAGAAAAUGGACCCUAAAUUGCAGUGCUGGUAUCAAGACAGUAAUGCGACAACACUAAAAGAACAUCAUCCAUGAUGCUGUAUGGCUGUAUUAAAUAUCUUUAUGGGUCUUUUGGUCAGGCUUUCAUCACAUGGCUCAUGGCUUGACAGCUCUCUUAGUAUGGCUUUCAGCUACUGUAAAUUUGCUCAUUUAUUUAUGUAAUACCUUUUUUGCAAUGAUCUAAAACACACCAGCCUUUUUAUAUUGUGUUUUAACCUGUGCUGUUUUGAAUGUGCCGUAUAAAUAAACUGACUCUACAUACAGUACACCUCUGAAUAAAAUGACAAUUAGAAAGUCAAAGACUUCUGAAAUAUUUAUUGAAAAACUUCCAGGGAAAUCACUCUUAAGGCCCUUAUUCUCUUAGACUCUUAUUUUUUCAAGAAACACAGUUUUUUAUAGAAUUUUUUUUUUUUUUGCCUUUUUGCCUUUAUUAGAUAGAACAGCUGAAGAGAGAGAGCAAAUGCUGGGCGGGGAGAGCGGGGGACAACACGCAGCAAAUGGCCGAGGUCGGAGUCGAACCCACAGCCGCUGCAACGAGGACCAAAGACUCCAUAGAUGAGGUGCGCAACAUAACCGCCAGAGCUACCAGAUAAAAGACAAGUCCUGCUCUUUUCUCCAGUCACGGCUCCCUUAUCCUUUGAUCACGCCCAGGAGUCUCUCCCUCUCAGGACAGUGAUAAUUCUGUAGAUUGCCCCGUGUGUCGCUCUCACAUCUGCUCAGAGACCACGCAGCUCUCCACCAGAGGAUACGCACCACGAGUGUCACAUUUUAACCUCAAACAGACGCUGCAAGACUAUUUCCUCCUGUGAAGCAGGGCUGAUAGUGAAGUUCAACACUAAAAUGUCUCUCAUGAAAAAGGGAAGCUACAGCAUUCACACCCAUAGAGAAUGAGCCUUUGACAUGUGAUAUGGAGUUUUCUGCAUUAAAGGGUUGAGUACAUUUUGUAAUGAACACAAGUUUCAUUUACUUUAACAUUAACUACUUCAGGUAUCUUACACUAUUCUUAUCACUUCAGGUAAUUAUAUGGUUGAAUGCUCACAAUUUUUUAGGUGCUGUGGGUCUCAAAUUCAAUUUAAUACUGCCGGAAACUUUUUCUUUUACACAUUUCUAUGCUGUGUGAUUCAUUUUUUAUCUUUGAUGUUGUCAUUUUAAAUCUUCAUUACAUUUUUAAAACCAAUCAAUCUCGUGAACAGACACAUCUCCAAGCGGCCUAUCUGUGUCUUCAUGAACUGAGGGUACUUUACUUUUCUUAUUUUUAUUUAAAGGUGCACUAUGUAGAUUUGGUGGUGAAAUUUGAAAGUUGUAGAAGUGAAAAAAUUCUCUGCUAUAUUUUCUGAACUGAAUACACAAACUUUAUCCAAAGGAAAAAAUGGGUCCCUGGAACACUGUUUGGAGCUAAAAAGCUACCAGGAGAGUCAAAGGUUUCACUGAUGACUCCACCAUAACUUCUCGCGUAUCAUUUUAUCUUCAAACAGUGUUCCAGGGACCAAAGGUUCCUCUGAGGACAGUUUGUGUUAAGAUUUCUGAACAUAUACCACAUAAUUUGUACACUUCUCCAACUUUCACAUUUCUCUACCAAAACGCCAUAGUGCACCUUUAAACUCUCAAAAAGACAAAUAAC